rnacentral:rRNA from 2 species
GGACUACAGGGGUUUCUAAUCCCGUUUGCUCCCCUGGCUUUCGCGCCUCAGCGUCAGGAAAGGUCCAGUGCGUCGCUUUCGCCACCGGCGUUCCUCGGGAUAUCUACGCAUUUCACCGCUCCACCCUGAGUUCCACGCACCCCUACCUCCCUCCAGGCGGCCAGUAUCGGGGGCCAUUUUCCAGUUGAGCUGAAAGAUUUCACCCCCGACUUGGUCGUCCGCCUACGCGCCCUUUAAGCCCAGUGAAUCCGAACAACGUUUGCACGGUUCGUCUUACCGCGGCGGCUGGCAC